rnacentral:rRNA from 1 species
GACGAACGCUGGCAGCGUGCCUAAUACAUGCAAGUAGAACGCUGAAGCGAGGAGCUUACUCUUCUUGGAUGAGUUGCGAACGGGUGAGUAACGCGUAGGUAACCUGCCUUGUAGCGGGGGAUAACUAUUGGAAACGAUAGCUAAUACCGCAUAACAAUGGAUGACACAUGUCAUUUAUUUGAAAGGGGCAAUUGCUCCACUACAAGAUGGACCUGCGUUGUAUUAGCUAGUAGGUGAGGUAAUGGCUCACCUAGGCGACGAUACAUAGCCGACCUGAGAGGGUGAUCGGCCACACUGGGACUGAGACACGGCCCAGACUCCUACGGGAGGCAGCAGUAGGGAAUCUUCGGCAAUGGGGGCAACCCUGACCGAGCAACGCCGCGUGAGUGAAGAAGGUUUUCGGAUCGUAAAGCUCUGUUGUAAGUCAAGAACGGGUGUGAGAGUGGAAAGUUCACACUGUGACGGUAGCUUACCAGAAAGGGACGGCUAACUACGUG